rnacentral:rRNA from 1 species
AUACGGAGGGUGCAAGCGUUAUCCGGAUUUAUUGGGUUUAAAGGGUGCGUAGGCGGUUUGAUAAGUCAGCGGUGAAAUAUUUCAGCUUAACUGGAAGGGUGCCGUUGAUACUGUCGAGCUUGAAUUUAGUUGCUGUGGGUGGAAUGUGUGGUGUAGCGGUGAAAUGCAUAGAUAUCACACAGAAUAUCGAUUGCGAAGGCAGCUCACAAAGAGAAUAUUGACGCUGAUGCACGAAAGUGUGGGGAUCAAACAGGAUUAGAUACCCUGGUAGUCCACACUGUAAACGAUGAUAACUCGCUGUCGGCGAUACAUAGUCGGUGGCCAAGCGAAAGCGAUAAGUUAUCCACCUGGGGAGUACGACCGCAAGGUUGAAACUCAAAGGAAUUGACGGGG